rnacentral:lncRNA from 1 species
AGAAGCAUAAACAUCUACCUUGGUGCCCAAUUUAGGAUCACUCGUCCAUGGAAAAGGCUACGUGGCUUCCUAAAAGCUUUAGCAUGCACACGUCGCUCGUGCUUGACACGACGAAAGCAAAAAACUCAAUGGUAUGCCCAUCUUUCUUACAAAAGUUGCAAUGGAACUUCAGUUUGGGAGUAUGAGUUCCAAAAAUGUGAGAAGCACUCUUACCACUUGAAU